CGGGGCUUAAAGUCUUGUAAUUGGAAUGAUGGGAAUUUAAACCUCUUCCAGAGUAUCAAUUGGAGGGCAAGUCUGGUGCCAGCAGCCGCGGUAAUUCCAGCUCCAAUAGCGUAUAUUAAAAUUGUUGCAGUUAAAAAGCUCGUAGUUGAAUUUCUGCUGCAAUGCUUGUGUCCCUCUGGGGUCUGUGCAUGUGGCUUUUUUCGGACGGAGUUUCUUUGUCUGAAUGUUUACUUUGAGAAAAUUAGAGUGCUCAAAGCAGGCUUUCGCCUUGAAUAGUUUAGCAUGGAAUAAUAAAGUAGGACUUUGGUUCUAUUUUGUUGGUUUUAGGUACCAAAGUAAUGGUUAAUAGGAACAGUUGGGGGCAUUCGUAUUUAACUGUCAGAGGUGAAAUUCUUAGAUUUGUUAAAGACGAACUACUGCGAAAGCAUUUGCCAAGGAUGUUUUCAUUAAUCAAGAAC
rnacentral:rRNA from 1 species